rnacentral:rRNA from 1 species
ACCCGCACAAGCGGUGGAUGAUGUGGUUUAAUUCGAUGCAACGCGAAAACCUUACCACCUUUGACAUGUACGGAAUCCUUUAGAGAUAGAGGAGUGCUCGAAAGAGAGCCGUUAACACAGGUGCUGCAUGGCUGUCGUCAGCUCGUGUCGUGAGAUGUUGGGUUAAGUCCCGCAACGAGCGCAACCCUUGUCAUUAGUUGCUACAUUCAGUUGGGCACUCUAAUGAGACUGCCGGUGACAAGCCGGAGGAAGGUGGGGAUGACGUCAAGUCCUCAUGGCCCUUAUAGGUGGGGCUACACACGUCAUACAAUGGCUGGUACAAAGGGUUGCCAACCCGCGAGGGGGAGCUAAUCCCAUAAAGCCAGUCGUAGUCCGGAUCGUAGUCUGCAACUCGACUACGUGAAGUCGGAAUCGCUAGUAAUCGUGGAUCAGAAUGUCACGAUGAAUACGUUCCCGGGUCUU